AUUAAUAAGCUACUACUUGUCUCAAAAAAAGUAUCUUGCUAUGUGUUUUAAUACAGGAGUACAUGGAAGGCAAAGAAAAGUAUGAGGGUUUCAGAAGUCAAUCGCUGCUCAAGAAAGAAAGCAAAGCCGUGCAUUAACGUCAAUUUCUCUUGAAAACAAUCGUUAAAGUUAACAUUAAUACUUGCAAAAAGGGACUUAUC